rnacentral:rRNA from 1 species
UACGGAGGGGGCAAGCGUUGUUCGGAAUUACUGGGCGUAAAGGGCGCGCAGGCGGCUGCUCAAGUCAGGCGUGAAAGGCCUGGGCUCAACCCGGGAAUUGCGCUUGAGACUGGGCUGGCUUGAGUGCGGGAGAGGAUGGUGGAAUUCCCAGUGUAGAGGUGAAAUUCGUAGAUAUUGGGAAGAACACCGGUGGCGAAGGCGGCCAUCUGGACCGCAACUGACGCUGAGGCGCGAAAGCUAGGGGAGCAAACAGG